CAAAGGUAAAUCCUCAAGAAUCCCGCCCAAUCCCAAUCGCGCUUCUUUUUAAACGAUUCCCACUCUUACAAACCCCACAAUCUUUCCCUCGCCCUUUGCUUCUCUGAAAACAAAUCUCUGUACCUAAACCUAAUCUGACACCUGAAAUAGGAGAAGAUGCUGGAGCUGAGGCUGGUUCAAGGAUCCCUUCUGAAGAAGGUGCUUGAGGCAAUCAAGGACUUGGUCAAUGAUGCCAACUUCGAUUGCUCUUCCACGGGGUUCUCUCUUCAGGCCAUGGAUUCAAGCCAUGUCGCUUUGGUGGCUCUCCUCCUCAGAUCGGAGGGUUUUGAGCACUAUCGCUGUGACCGUAACAUUUCCAUGGGCAUGAAUCUCAAUAACAUGUCUAAGAUGUUGAAGUGCUCUGGAGCUGAUGACAUCAUCACCAUCAAGGGUGACGAUGGCAGCGAUACCGUCACUUUCAUGUUUGAAAGUCCUACACAAGACAAAAUUUCGGACUUUGAGAUGAAACUGAUGGACAUUGACAGUGAGCACCUGGGAAUUCCUGAGGCAGA
rnacentral:misc_RNA from 1 species